rnacentral:rRNA from 2 species
ACGGAGGAUCCGAGCGUUAUCCGGAUUUAUUGGGUUUAAAGGGAGCGUAGGCGGGGUAUUAAGUCAGUUGUGAAAGUUUGCGGCUCAACCGUAAAAUUGCAGUUGAUACUGGUAUCCUUGAGUGCAGCAGAGGUGGGCGGAAUUCGUGGUGUAGCGGUGAAAUGCUUAGAUAUCACGAAGAACUCCGAUUGCGAAGGCAGCUCACUGGAGUGUAACUGACGCUGAUGCUCGAAAGUGUGGGUAUCAAACAG